rnacentral:rRNA from 1 species
GAUGAACGCUAGCGACAGGCCUAACACAUGCAAGUCGAGGGGCAGCACAAGGAGCAAUCUGAGGUGGCGACCGGCGCACGGGUGAGUAACACGUAUGCAACCUGCCUGUAAGCGGGGGAUAACCCGUUGAAAGACGGACUAAUACCCUAUAACACAGGGGUCCCGCAUGGGAAUAUUUGUUAAAGGACAACCGGUUGAAGAUGGGCAUGCGUUCCAUUAGCUAGUUGGCGGGGUAACGGCCCACCAAGGCAACGAUGGAUAGGGGAACUGAGAGGUUUAUCCCCCACACUGGAACUGAGACACGGACCAGACUCCUACGGGAGGCAGCAGUGAGGAAUAUUGGUCAAUGGACGCAAGUCUGAACCAGCCACGUCGCGUGAAGGAAGACGGCCCUACGGGUUGUAAACUUCUUUUAUACGGGAAUAAAGUGCCCCACGCGUGGGGUUUUGCAUGUACCGUAUGAAUAGGAUCGGCUAACUCCGUG